CCUACGGGUGACAGCAGUGAGGAAUAUUGGUCAAUGGACGAGAGUCUGAACCAGCCAAGUAGUGUGAAGGAUGACUGCCCUAUGGGUUGUAAACUUCUUUUAUAUGGGAAUAAAAUGUUCCACGUGUGGGAUUUUGUAUGUACCAUAUGAAUAAGGAUCGGCUAACUCCGUGCCAGCAGCCGCGGUAAUACGGAGGAUCCGAGCGUUAUCCGGAUUUAUUGGGUUUAAAGGGAGCGUAGGUGGAUUGUUAAGUCAGUUGUGAAAGUUUGCGGCUCAACCGUAAAAUUGCAGUUGAAACUGGCAGUCUUGAGUACAGUAGAGGUGGGCGGAAUUCGUGGUGUAGCGGUGAAAUGCUUAGAUAUCACGAAGAACUCCGAUUGCGAAGGCAGUUCACUGGACUGCAACUGACACUGAGGCUCGAAAGUGUGGGUAUCAAACAGGAUUAGAUACCCGAGUAGUC
rnacentral:rRNA from 1 species